rnacentral:rRNA from 1 species
AAGUAUUAAAGGUCCCGCCUGCCCAGUGAAAUUCUUUAACGGCCGCGGUAUUCUAACCGUGCAAAGGUAGCGUAAUCACUUGUCUCCUAAAUAGAGACCAGUAUGAACGGCUAAAUGAGGACAAACCUGUCUCUUACAACUAAUCAGUGAAACUGAUCUCCCAGUACAAAAGCUGGGAUAAGCACAUAAGACGAGAAGACCCCGUGGAGCUUUAAAUAAACUACUAAUCAAAGACACUAGUAUGCUAUUUUAAGUUGGGGCGACUUCGGAAUAAAACAAAACUUCCGAGCACAGAGCCACUCCCUCAAACCAAGGCCAACAAGCCUAAGUAAAAACCGACCCGGCCCAUAUGCCGAUCAACGAACCAAGUUACCCCGGGGAUAACAGCGCUAUCUUCUUCAAGAGUCCCUAUCAACAAGAAGGUUUACGACCUCGAUGUUGGAUCAGGACACCCAAAUGGUGCAGCCGCUAUUAAAGGUUCGUUUGUUCAACGAUUAACAGUCCUACGUGAUCUGAGUUCAGACCGGAG